ACCCUUUGCCUGUCUGCCUUGCACUUGCACCAUAGGCAUGUUGGUGUAAUUACAGCUCUCAAAUUCCUUAGGAAAAUGUAACAUUUUUCCUCUGCUCACUGUAGGAAAAGUGGGAGCAAGCCAUGGGGCUGUUUAAGCCUUCAUAUAGGGGAGGUAGGGAAUGGGGCAGCAUGUCUGGAGUAGAUGCUAUGGAUGGGAAAAUAACCAAAGACUGGAUGUAGCAUUCAGUUUUCAGUCAGCACGAGGAGUGACCUGCUUAUCUGGCUUUCAGCAGGCACUACUAUGGGUCCCAGAAGUGCUAAGUUUGCACUUCUGUGUUUCUGGCAGGCCUCUGCCACCCUGCCAAGGCUGGAAGGAACCAGGACCUUACAGGCAGUUUCCCCCCAAAGCCCACCAUGGCAGUGCUGGGCAGCAGCUUCACGUUUUGGGUUUAGGGCAGACAGACCCAAAGUGAAUGGCACCGGUGGGAGAGCUCAUCCCUCACCUGUUCUGGAUGCUUUCAUCUCUUCAGCAUUGCUGGUACAGCUGCUCAAAUGGAUGCUUCCUAGCCUGACAGCCAACAGGAGAUGGUGAGCAAAGCCAUGCCUGUUUCCUGGUUCUCACUGGGUUAUUUUUCCCAAAUCUCAGGCUCUUUUCAAUGCUUCCCUUCACAUCCCUGUUAUGGUGAAAUGAGUCUUUGUUUUCUUCUGAGGACAUUGAAGAAUAUGUGCAUUUGUGGUGUUUUUUAAUGAUUGAGGAGACAGAGUUAAAUAGAGGUUUCUUAGUUAUGCUAAUUUGUUUUAGGACAUUUGAGAAUGGUAAUUUGGAAUUUUCGAGGCAAUAAUAACAUUAAAAGGCUCAUCAUUUGUCAGAAAGACAAGUGCAAAGAAACUCGAAUCGCAAAAUUUACAUAUUCUGCCUAGUGCAGAAAUUAGUUUUGCUUUGGACUGCUUCAAAAUGUUAUUUUACAGAAAGAUUUGGGGUAUAGUGCAGGCUCUGUCAGAUACCCAACUCAGCCUCCGGUUGCAGAGCCUUAAAACAGGCACUGCUCGUUAGCACAGUGAUUCAGGGCAGCAGAAUCGGGUUUACUCUGGAGCCAGCAGAGCAGGGUGAGUGCUCCUCUUCCCCUUGUUAGCACUGAGUAGGAAACACCAGCUAUGGGAUGAGUCUCAAUCCCUAUCCUGCUUUGGAGGUGUCUGGCUCAGUGCAGUGCUUUGCCCUGCCCACCCCCAACCUGUAGACUUUUCUGCAAAUAAUGGACUCAAAGUUAAAUUGUCCACAGCUCCUUUGUGUUGAUUUUGGUGUCUCACAGCCUUGCCUAAGAGUUGCAAGGUGAGGGAGGGUGAAGGUCUGGCUGCUCAGGCAAACACCAGCCUGCAAGUCAGAUUUUGUGAAGGUGCUCUGUGGAUCUAAGACAUCGCUGCUGCCUGAAGGGAUGGUGCUGCUCCCAUCUUGAAUCUGCUUCUGCUGUUUCACUUGCCUUAGUGCUCACUUGAAUCCUUGUGUCACCAUGAAUUGUCCCAGAAGAAUGACAUUUGUUAAUGUGAACAGUUGGGAGAUAUGCUUUUCAUUCUGUGACUAAUCUGGACUUUGAAAUGUACUGCCAGUGGCUUCAAAAGACAGCCAGUUGGUGUGCGAAUCAACGCCAGGCCUGGAGCAGAGAUCUUAAGAAAUAUGGCAGGGAUAUUUGCAGAGUAUGCUCAAGAGUAAAUAAUCAAUAUCAAACCAAACAGAUGUGUGCUGCUUAAACUGAGGUUAUACCAGUGUAACUCCGUUCUUCUCCAUGACAUUCACGGUUGAUUUACGUCAUCUAGGCUGGAAGCUUUGGCCUUGUUUGGUGACAUGGACUGUUUUGCCCAUAAUGGGGAAAUCAAGAGAGAUUGUGGAACCAUGAUAGACAGAAAUCAUGGGACUGUUGGAAUUUAGCACUUGGAAGAGGCACUCAGUGACUAUCCAAGAGAAGGGCUAUAAUUCUCUCUGUAUCCUGUGCUGUGUUCUGCGGAAGCAACCCUGCGAUUCAGAGACCUAUGGGGUGCUGGCCCACCAUGCUGAGUGCAUCUUCUGCAGGAAAAUCCUCCGUGUUUGGAAGCACUGACUCAGAGACAAGAAAAUGCUGGCUGCUUGGACGUGGCCACUUCUUGCUGGCUGAGGCAAAGUGGUAACACAGAAGUAUAUCUCCUCUUGUGGGCAAGUCUAACUUGUUGACAUUUAAUCCCCUUGAAUCAAGUCAGCUGAAUGGUAGCUAAAAUCUGCAAUAUAGCUAUAGCUGGCAUCCUCAAUAAUGUAACUGUUUUCCUCAUCAAAAUGAAGUCAUUUUGUCAGCAGAUAUGGAUUACACUUGAAGCCAUCAACAGCCAAGAUAUAUGCACUGGAAAGAGGUUCCUGUGAAAAAUAAUCAAAUGUGGGAUUUGUGUACAUAACAGACUUGCACCCAGAUAGUUAACUGUCAAUUAAAACCUGCUUUAAGUUUCUGGGGCUCCAGCUUGGGAGUAAACAGAUCCUGACUCCAUUUACUUUGCUUUAUAACUCUAAUCUAUUCUUUCUUGAUAUCUCUGUCUCUCGUACAAUUUUCUGUGUUGGACUUGUCAUGAGGUUCUUGCAUUUAUUGAAUUCUUAUGACUCUUUGCCUUUUUUUCUCUCUAAUUCAGUGACAAUCUGUUGCUCCCUGCAGUGACUAAAGCACCUUGAACAUUAUCAUUCAGUGUCUAUGUUAUCAUGCAGCAAUGACUCAUCAUGUCAAGAUGAUGGAGAGCAAGGCUUGUAGUGUCUGCGGAAGCUUCAGUCAAAUAAAGAAUAGCAGCUUUUAUCUGA